GACGAACGCUGGCGGCGUGCCUAAUACAUGCAAGUUGAGCGAUGAAGGUUGGUGCUUGCACCAAUUUGAAGAGCAGCGAACGGGUGAGUAACGCGUGGGGAAUCUGCCUUUGAGCGGGGGACAACAUUUGGAAACGAAUGAUAAUACCGCAUAACAACUUUAAACAUAAGUUUUAAGUUUGAAAGAUGCAAUUGCAUCACUCAAAGAUGAUCCCGCGUUGUAUUAGCUAGUUGGUGAGGUAAAGGCUCACCAAGGCGAUGAUACAUAGCCGACCUGGGAGGGUGGUUCGGCACAAUGGGACUUAGACACGGCCCAAACUCCUGCGGGAGGCAGCAAUAGGGAAACUUCGGCAAUGGACGAAAGGCUGACCGAAGAACGCCGCGGGGGGGGAGAAAGGUUUCGGGUCGUAAAACUCUGUUGGGAGGGAAGAACGGUGGGGAGAGUGGAAAGCUGAUGAAGUGACGGUAACUACCGAGAAAGGAACGGCUAACUACGUG
rnacentral:rRNA from 1 species